rnacentral:lncRNA from 1 species
UUAACUCUUCUUUCAUUAUCUCUAGAACCUUUUAUUUAAGUAUAUGUUAGUGGUGUUUUACUAAAAUACUACUAUGUUAGAAGUUGUCUUGAAUGGAGAGUGCAUGCUUUAACUACCGAGAUGUCCCACAUCGUGCCUUUGAUUACGAAUUCCGCAAUUCAUAUACUUACGAAUUCCUGGUCAUCGGUCAUGUUCCGAUUAAGAUCCAUUGCUGUACUAUGUAUUCAAUCAUAGCGACUGAUUAAGAUCACCAAUUAAGAUAGCAAAAUAAAGCCAUUUGCGACUAACGCUUAGACGACGGCUUAGUGGGAGGAGAUAUAAUAGAUAGAAGUUAAAAAAAGGAAAGAGAAGAACUUUGAAAAACUACCUCUUCUUGAUAAAACAGAUGUUUUGGUACAUAUUUUCAAUUUUGUUAUGCGAAGGCUGAACUAUUGGGCAGACAACUUCCUAACUUUUAUAGGUAAACACUGAAUAACAAUUUUACAUAGUGGUAAUAAAAUCCUGUGGGCAUAUACAAAUGGUGUAAAUACUUCCUCCGUUUCUAUUUAUAUGUCCAAGAAGGAAAAGUUCACACAAAUUAAGAAAAACAAUUAACUAUGUUGAUUUUCAUAAAAAUAUAUUUGUUUUUCUAUAUCACAUUUUAAAAGUAUUUUAUCUUUCUUCAUUUAUUGUUUCUGUGAGGGUAAUGCUCUCUUGAAACUCUAAGUGGACAAUUAAUAAGGAACGGAGGGAAUAUCUAACAAUAUCUCAUUUUUCUUUCUAAGAGCAUCUACAUCUAUUAUACUCACUAAAAUAUCUACAUUUUAUUUUUUACAAUUUCUCAUAGUGUCACAUCAUCUACAUCACUCUACUAACUUUUUACUCCAACCCAACAACUCUUAAAAGUUUCUAUAGUGGAUCUCAUCAUCAACAUCGCAUUUGUAUAUUUUAUUAUUUAUCUUUAAUUAUAUUAAUUGGGAGUGCUUGUAAUAAAUACAAGCUCACUUUUCAAGUCUAGUUUGGAGUAUUUAUUCCCACAUACUCAUCUUUGUCAUGUUUGAAUUGAAUAUGUACUCUAAUGGUAAUAGAUACUCAUAUAAUAUGUAUUUAACAUUAGAUAUAUACUACUAUUGGAGAUCGUCUAAUUCUCUUCAAUAGUAUAUCACAUUUAUAUUUUCUUUUUUUCACUUUGCAUGUUUGUUCAGAGUCUGCACUUUGUAAAUGUUUAUAAAUUAUUUUAUUCACCUUUUUUCUAUUUAUAACUCAAAUUGAAAUUAAAUAUAAGUACAUAAAGUGCUCAAAUAAUAAAAGUUGUGAGACAUAUAAAUUAGAGAGGUGGGAUCUAGGAUUCAUCCUAGUAGGUGCAGUUUAUUUUUCAGAAAAGAAAAAAAAGGGUUUAACCCAAUUACGUAGGAAUAAUAGCCAUCCGUAUAUGGACGAAGCUAUACUGGUCUUUAGUCCCCUUCUUGGUCAAAUGUUGGUUAUUUUAUUUUUUUUCUCCUUAAGUGGCAGGACAAUUCUCCUGAAAGCUAUAUUCAUCAGGGAUAUCCCCGUGGGGGUGUAGUAGCGCAGCACACCCGUUCUUGGUCGCGCAGCCAGCACUUCUAGCUAAGAGUCCGUAUUAAUUUCUAUUUUAGGUCAGUGCAAGAGUCAACUGAAAUUAGAGAGUCAACAGUGGACAAGAGAACCUAUAUAGACAACACUACAACAGAGAUGAGAUGACGGCUGACGGUAGGUUAGAGACAGAGCUUAAAUCAUUGAAGUGUUGGGGUUUAUUGCAAUGUUACUCUCACAUUACUAAUGUUAAUCAAGGACGAAAUAGAUUAAGGAAAAAAUCUUGGAAAUUAAAAGUCUCAUAUUGUCUAGCAUAUUAAAGCUGGAGGAGACUAAUGCUACUUAAUUAUAAAGAUCUCAAGCUCCUUAUCACAACACACAUAAUGUUAGAAGUUCCACAUUGGCUAGAAAUAGAGCAUAGAUAACCUUUAUAAAGGGUAGUGCAAACUUCAACUCUUGAGCUAGCUUUUGUGGUUAAGUAUUGACCUCCCAAUUUCUAAUAUGGUAUUAGAGUCUAUCCUAGAUCCAUUUGUUGUUUGUUGUGGAGACUUCCCAUAUUUGGGGCACCCGUUGUUGUUGAUCCCAUGUUCCAGGGUGUUCAGUCCUGGACGUGAGGGAGUGUGUUAGAAGUCUCACAUUGGCUAGAGAUAGAGCAUAGAUAGCUUUUAUAAGGGGUAGUGCAAACCUCAACUAUUGAACUAGCUUUUGUGGUUGAGUAUAUGCCACCCAAUUUCUAAUACAUAAUACUAAUUGUGUAAUUUAAAUAUUAAUGUAUUAAAGUAAUGAGGUAGUUGAAAUAAAGUUCAUGUAUUGUAAUAACUUUCAGACCAUACUCAUUCUCAGACCAUAAUCUUUCUGUCCACCAUCCAAACAGGUAGAGGACGCUAGAAUGCCCCGAUCAUGAUUGAUGUAUUAUUAUUGGUCACCUAUCUCAAUGUCCAUGUAUGAUAGAGCUACCUACUUAGCUUUGAUUAUUUAAUUUAAAAGCAAAAGGGGAGUGCUAUAAAGGCGUUUAAAAUUAUUGCAUGUCUUGGUGCACUUUACCCACAAAAUUUGGAUAACAAUCUCUUUUGACAUUGACAUGUUUUUAAUGUUCAUGCAAAACUGUAUAAAAAUAAAGCAAAUUGGAUUAUUAUACCACUAAUAUGUUUAUGUCCGAAGAUAAAAGAUGUAGGACAAAGUUAGUAUGACUCGUAUAAUGAUGCAUGACAAAUAAAGCAGAAAUUUCUUUUUAGCAGGACGUGUUUUCAUGCAUGCUCACUCUCUUUGGUGCAUUAUUGAUAUAUUUACGUGAGUAGUAUUGUCACGGUGGUGUAUGACAAAGUGGCUAUUAAAUGUAGAGGAGCACUACUUACCAGUCUUAAGUCUUAACAAAGGAAUUUUUUCUUUUUAAAGCAAAAAUAUUUAUUGAAUUAUAAAUGCAUCGAUAUUUAAGUCGUCUCAACAAAUUAGUUAACGCCUAAAACAAAAUUUCCCAAAAAUUAAAAAUCCUAAUAUUUUUCCAACAAAAGGCCUAAAACGGCAAAUCGCUAACACCGGAUAUUAAUUGACACCUCAAUGACCCAGCUUCCACCACCAAACAAAAUCAGAGCAACGAAAAGCAACCAAGCUUAAAUUUGUUUGAUGCAUUCAUAAUGGGGGAUAGUUGAAAUCUAGGUGUUUCUCAUUUCUUCAAUUCACAUAUGAUAUACACCCUUCUUUGGGAAGGGUAGAAUUUAGAUUGUGAUUCUUCUGAAAAGUGUUCCUCGGAGUUUUGAGUAAGUGGCUGGUUUGAAAGUUAAUUUUAAUUAGCAAAGUUAGUUUGUUUGCUUAUGGUCAAUUGAUGAAGGUUUCUUAAGAAGGGAUGCUACAAUUCUUCACUAUGUAGCAUUGUCACUCCCAUUUGUGCACCUUGGUAUUCCCAUUAGAGUAAUCCAAGACGUACGUCUCUCCUUUUGGGAACCAAUGUUGAGAAAAUUAAGAUAUAAAUUCUCCCUUUUUGAAAAAAAAAUCUACGUCUUUUGGGGGAAGGAUAUGCCUCAUUAAUAAUGUACUCUUGGUUUACCUCUUCUAUCACUUUGCCAAAAAAGGCCUUUUGCAGCGGUUCCAAACCGCUGUAGAUCUCGCCGAUGUAAAAGAUUUUACGGCGAUUCAAACCGCUGUAGAAGUCCCUCUUUACAGCAGUUUACCCAUUGUAACCAUUGUGGAUGGUAGGUCUAUUACAAUGCAUAUUCACCGAACCACUACAUAGUAUAUCUUUUUUUACUUAAUUCAGCCCCUAAAUUAAUAAUAAUUAUAAUUAACCCACUUUACUAUGUUAUUUAUAAAGAAGGUUUAUCUCUUGAUUACAAUAGUAAAUUGGACAACUAUAUAUGUGAUAAAGGAUGUAAGUCAAAAACAGGAUUUGGAAAGGUGGGAGAUUAAUGGGUCAAAUGAGAAAACAUGUGUCGUCAGCAGGUUAAAUGUUAUGGUUUGGGCCGUUUGGAUCCAAUUAGGCAACAUCUUGGACCAGGGCAGGAGUGGGAUAGUAGCAAAAAUGCACCAUGCAGAAAUUGCUUGAUAGGCGUGAUAUCUGGGAUAAUACCUUGGAAUAAAAUGUGUUUUGAAAAUUAAAAUUUGCAAUAUUUUUUAAUUUUUUGUGUACUGAAAAUAAGAAUCCAGUGGUGGACAAAGUCAUUAUACAAAGUCAUUACACUAAGUCAGUAUAAAAUCAUAAUAUUUGAAGUGGUGGUUAAUCCUAAUAUAUACGGUUCUCCUCUUCCUCUAAUAGUUACCAAGUCCAAGGAUGAAUUUAAUUAAUUUGAUUAAGUGCAUAAUUGUUUGCAAGUGUUAUGUUUCUCAAGCAACUAGCUAGUGGUGCCACUAGUGUUCUUUUACUAAGAUAUAAGAAACAAUGGGUCGAUCGCAUUGUUUUUCAUUUUUUAUAAUGUAGUAAAAUAAUAAUGAAAUACUAUAAAAUGUCAAUGUAGAAGUUACAGUUACUACACUCUUACUAGCUAAAACCCAAAAUCACGAAUCAACUACAAUCAAAUUACCCACAAAUUUAUCACUAACUAGUUUGACUUUGGUAGCUCUGGACACAUUUGUCACAAUUUUCAGGCGUGGACAUAACAGUAACUUCAAUGACUUCGGGCUCCGUGGUGUUUUGAUCUAAUGGCACUAGUUGAGUCUUCUUUUUCAUUUCUCUGCUCUUACCCCAUAGCACACCAUAUAAGCCACACACGAUCAGUACUGCUCCAACCACACUAUAUAAUAUACAACGAAACUCAAUUAAUUCAAAUCAUGAACCCAAAAUAAUAAAUAAAAAGCAUAAAUUAAACAUGAUGAACAAAUUAAAUUAAAUUAAAUAUAUUGUGAAACAGAGUUAGACUAUAUAUAUGUAUACCUUCCUAAAUAUAAUUUCUCAUCCAAUAAUAAAUAAGCAGCGAUUGCCACAAGCAAAAGUUGUAGAGGAUUAAAGAUGGAUGCAAAUAGAGGACCUCUCAUCUUCACGCACCACGAAAUUACAAUAACCACCAUACCAGAAGCCACAAUUCCCUGCAGUUAACAUUUUAAUCCCAUAGUCAAAUAUAUGUGCUUCCUUUGAGCUUUUUAAUAUUUUCAUUAACUUCAGAGCAUACCGAAUAAGCCACGGUUAGCAGCCUGAUAUUGUAACCUAACUUCCAUUGGCUCCAAUCUCUAUCAACACAAAGAGCAAUAAUAGUAGAUUGUAUUGCUCCCAUUGUUGACAUCAAAGCUGAGCUUGAGUGAUAGCUUGGAUAUUCUUGGUUCAUCUUAGCCUGUACGUUGUGCAAUUAAAUGUAUUCAUAUAUAAGAUGACUUCAAUCAUAACUAAAUGAUAUACAAGUGCACUACAUUCGAUUCAUAAUUAAGGAAUAAGCUAACCUGAAUGAUUAACCACAAAGAGAAAGAGCAGCAACUUGCUAAGGCGCAUGGAACCCCUAAUAGUUUAUUACUAAAAUCUACAUGAGGCCGCAUCAUAUGCCCACUUUGGUCAUGAUGUGGAUGCAUAAGGUCAAUUUUGGAAGAUAAAAUAUUAAUUUCAAACCCUUUGAGAAAGGUAAUCAACAUUGCACCACUAAUUCCAACAACUGUUCCUAUCACCUUGGCCUUCCCUUCUGCUGCUCCAAAAUUCAGUUUUUCCAAUCUAUAGAAAAAUCAAAAGUAUAACAGUAAAAUGGGCACAAAUUAGUAUUAUAUUUUGAUUAAAAGCAUUGCAAAUUGAGAGUGCAUGUGAAACACUAUCUAUCAUUUAAUAUUAAUUACCUUUGUGCGGUGUAUAGGAGUGCUAAUCUACUCUUUGAUGUCUAUAUUAUCUCAUACAAAACUUAGUUGCUAGUUGCUACAUCGUCAUUAUAUUUAAUUAUCACUUAUAAAACACGGAUUAAUACUUUUUUUAAUCUUUUUAUAAUGGCAUCCUAGUCACUCUUGCCUUUACAAGCCUUCAAUCCUCAUGGCCAGUGGCCACUGAUUGUUUGCAAGUACAUGUUUCUACAACCAAACUAAAUAGUAAUUGAAAAUUCAUUGAUUUAAUUAUUUUCUAACAUCAUAAAAAAAGAUAAAAUAUAUAUCUAAGUGUACGUGUAGGGAGAGUACGUACCCAAAAGAAGUGGCCAUGAUGAAUGUAACGCCUGGAACAAGGUUUAACACCGCCAACAUAAACGUUGCAGAGGUCAAAGCCAAACCAACGGCGUAAAGGUUUAGAAAUAAACUUCCACUGAAAUGGAACAUUGCAUAUACCCAUAUAGUAUAUUGUUAAUUAAUUACCUUAUAACAAGGAUACUUUAUAUAAGGUGGAAAAAGGGUGAAUGAUUUAGGUAGCAUACCCAAACAAUCCACAGAGAAAUGCCAUAAAAAUCACCCUCCAAGUAAUUUUUUGCCUCUUCUUCCUGUGUAGAGAAAAAAUGCAAAACCAUUUUGACCUUGUUAGUCUAAUCUAUAUAAUGCGUGAGUCUCACGUUGAAACGCUAUACAAUGUUUGUCUCUUAUGUUACUAUUUGACAGAAAUCACAUCAGGUCAUUUAGUUGGAUUCAUCUCAAAGAGAAAGUGAGAGAAAGUGAUUUUUUUAGUUAGAAAAACAAAUAUGUAAAAAAGAGAAAGUGAUUAAGAGCAAUACGAAAAGUAAGAGAAAGACCCGAAAAUAGAGACGUGACGUAAAAGGCAAUAGUGGAAUGUAAAAGACAAACCUUAUUAUUUUUACAAAACCAAUAAUAAAAUUCGAGAAUUUUGAAAUAUUGUUCAGGUGUUUUAGACAUGUUGAACACCGGUUGCACUCUUCAAUAUAAAUAAAAUUAAAAAGUUCGACUUACUAGUAGAAAGGCCCACGUCUUUCAUUUUCAAAUCCAUAAUUAGAUAUUUUAAUGGUACUUUAACCUUUAAUCUACUUAUCGCAUGUUUUACUUCUUUCUUGUCUUCUAUCUCUUUCGUUUUAUUUUGGGUUUUCCUAAUUUCUAAAUCUCCUAUUUUUCCUCAAUUUUCCCUUAGAUGUCCAUCUCAAGUUAAUGAAAAACAUAAUCAUAAGAUAAUCCCUUUAAAAACUUUUAUGAUAUAAGAAUUGAUUGUGCUAAAUUAUUUUAUAUAUAUAGAGGAUAUAUGGCUUGUUUGAUUUCUGUUUUAAUUUUGAUGUUUAAAAAAAUUAGAAACAAUUUUUAAAAUUAUAUCAAAAAAAAAAACUUUUUGAAUAACGUGUUUUGCAACCUUAAGAAAACUUUAAUUUAACAACAUUGUGUUUCAGACUCCUCCUUGUACAUUUUCAUUACAUCAUCCUAGAAUAUAAAUUUGAAGAGACCCAUUAUAAGACAAGAUGAAAGAUGGAGUAAAAUAUAUUGUAUAAAUGAACAAUAUAAACUAUAUUUAAAUGUCAAAAUAAAAACUGACCCGUGAAAGUGAAUGUGAGGAAAUGGUUGGAAAAAAACAUUUCCAAAAAAGUACUUUUGCACAAGAAAUCUUUAAUUUUAGGCACACUUUUUCUUUUCCACAAUAAUAUUUUUACCAAAAAUGUUUAGAAAAUGCCCUUCUAACAAAAUAUAUAAUUUUUAAACGACUUCGUAUUCAGUCACUUUUCAAAUACUGACAAUUCGGUAUUUUAGAUUGAGUAAAAACUAAUACUAAUUUUAUCAUCUUUCGAAUGUAUUAUGUAGGGAUUGAGCCCCACUAAAAAAUAAAUUAAGGUUUUUUAACUCUCGAAAAAUGAAAGAAAAAACGAAGUUUAACAUGCUAUAUUGAAUGUACGUUAACAUUUUGAUAUAGAAGUUCAUGAAAUGAAAACACAUUUUUUGUGUAAAAGCAAAAAAAGGUGCAAGGAAAUUAUAAUAAACAACAACCUAUCAAGGAUAAGAGCAAGUGGAACUGUGAAAGCCGAUGCGAAAAUGAGGCGAUAAGCAGUUGCAACUCUCAUGCUCAUUCCAUCAUUUAUGGCGAGCUUGUAGACGAUAUUCGCCGCAGCAUAUGCAAUCUGCGUAAACACCAUUAGUAACGCUGGUUUCAGCCCUUGCAUUAAAUUGCACACACCGUUCAUGGUGCUAGCUAUAACUACAAUGGAGUUUUUCUAUCAAAUAAAAUAAAGAGAGAAGAUGAAGGUGUGUGGAAAUUGUAGCUCAGCAAAGGAGUUUUUAUAGAAUAGGUUGAAAAAGUGUUCCAUCACCCCUUGACUGUUAUCGUACUCUUUUACCUAUAAUUUAAUGUAGAGUUGUAGACAAAUGUUUUUGGGAUGAUGUUUUAGCAGACUUAAAAAGUUUAUGGUAGCGUCGUGUUUCAUAAGUCUAUCUUCUCUACUGACUCAUUUUUAUGAGGGAACAUACUUAUUAUGAAAAUAAUUGCCAACAUUAGUUAUAUUCAUUUCAUUUUUAUUUUCGAAAAUGAUAUACCAUAGCGUGAAACUAAAUAAAAUAUCCAUUAUUCAUCCAAUGGAAUUGGAAGCUAUUGUUGGGUAUUCUCCAAAUAAAAGUCAAAAUAUGGUUUUAUGGGUCGUUUAACAAAACAUGUGCUAAUCAUAAAUGCACAUCACCAAAAGAUUUGCGUGGAGGAUUGUUAAGGCUAGGUUGGGAGCUAACUAGCUAAGCCGGGUUGCUUAUUGAAAGGUUCCGAAGAAUUUAAUAUCAUUGCCAUGCCACUUUGUUAUUUCCAUUUAGUUGGAUUGCUUCGCCGGGGUAUGGCUUUUUUGCUCUUGAAUUUAACUCCUGGUCUCCUGCUGGUUUUUAUCAGUAAAGUAAGGCAAGCAAGUCUAUUUGUUGGCACUUGGUGAUUUUAUCAUCAAAGUGGGCUUUAGGCCCCGUUUGAAAAAACAACUUAAUUAAGCACUCAUGGUUAUAAGCGAUAUAAAUGCUUAUUCAUAAGCUACUUUUAAAAAUUAUUGAAAUGAAUUGAAAAUAAACUAUAUAUAAGUAUAAGCUCAUUUCCAUCAGCUAUCAUGAGUAGCUUAUGAAAAUAAGCUCAAAACAACUUAUGGUCUACCAAAAGGGCUUAUACUAUCAGAUAAGCUCAAAUAAGCUAUUUCAAGUUGGAGUGGUGACGAAUGCAUUGUUGCAAGUGCGUGUGAAAGUAAUUUUUUAAAGAAUACAGUACAAGGUGUUAUGACACCAAGAUAGUUAUCAAAAUGACUCAAUGGAUUAACAAUUGAAAUAAAGCAGGACACACUAACAAAAGAGGGAGGCCGGGAGGGUUUGGUUGAUUUUCUUGCAAUAAAAUUAAAGUCGAAAUUAAGUGAUUUAAGAAUUCAUAAGAGGAAGCGUCAAUCCUUGGACGUGAUUCAUUCAAGUGUAACAAACCGUUAUUGGUCACAAAAAGGUUUAUUUAACUUUUUAUUGAAGAUUUUGAGGCGAAUCCCAACUCAUAAAGAAGUUGGAAGAUCCCGAUUCUCUACCGGACAAUUAUCCAAAUUUUGAUUUGCUCAAGUAAAGAUGGAGUCAUUGCCCCUCAAAGUACAAGAACAAUUUUCUUCUUCCAAAAAGCUAACAACCAAUCGGUGUAUUAGAGAGUUUUGUUCUUUGGAAAACAAAACCACAAUCGCUACAACAUUCCAUCAAUCGGUUAAAGAUUUUUUUACUAAUUUCAACUUGCUUAGAUAAACAAUUAAAACAUAGUAUAAUUUCAAACUAAACCAGUCAUGGGCCAAAAGAAAAUUAUAUUAAAACUACAGAGUGAAAUAACGUAAAUCAACUUGAAUAAAAAUAUCAAAUUUUUUUUUGAAAGUUAAAAGAUAUAUAAAUAAGGAUAAAGUUGAGAAAUAACCCUCUCAACAUGGGUACAAUCAUGAAGCCAACAAAAACCGACAUAAACUUAGCCACUACAGCAAAAAAACACUUACAACAUCUAAGAACACCCGCAAGCAAACCACCCCGAUCAAUUAAAGCGAUUAAAGCACUGAGACUGGUCCCUAUAAAGUCGAAAACAACUUAUCAGGUCGCACGACACCUGCAAUAAGGAACCACCUAUGUCGUUCGCACCACAAGACCCAUCGCACGCCAUAGAGCUGAGACCCAAAAGUAAAUACCCAAAUACAUAAAAAACGAUAAGAACUACAACGCAAAAGCAAAAGACAAGCGAACAAGUGCAUACAACAACUCCAACACUGCUUCCGAACCUUCACUAAGCUCAAGCAUAGUCAUCAAUCAAACUUGAAGAAAACACAAAGCACCACAACGCACCUGAAGCAACUGCCCAAAGCGACAGACGAAACUGCAGCAACAACACCAGCCUAAAACCACGAAACAUCCACUGUGGCGGCGCGCCAAAGACUCCCAAAGAAUAGAACCUCAGGUUUGCAUACAAUAUAAGAUUGACUAGAGUUUAGUGACCCAUGAAACUGGGUAAAAACUCUGAGAAAUAAAAGUGAAAUAAAAUAUCAAUCGAAACUACAAAAUAAUGAUUAAGGAAAAAGGGGAAAAGCAUAAUGUUUAACCUAGACUAAAACACUGGUAUUUAACUAUUUAUAGAGGAACCAGCUCCAAAUCGUGCCUCUUAUGCCCUUCUUCAGCACUUCACAGAUCUAAUUCCAGAAGUAAGCGGCUUUAUAACGCGCAAUCUCCCGAGCUCUUCAUGAAUGUUAUUGUCCCUUAGGUUAGCUUCACUAGCUAGGCUUUAUGUAGAGUCCAAAUCCUAGUGAUGACCAGAGUGUUUUAGUUAUUUUUCUAGUUUAUUUUUAUGAAUUUUAAUACAUUAUUUAGGAUAUAUUGACCAUUUUAAGUCACUUUAAGAUUAUUUCAUGCAUUUUAUUAUUUUUAUUUAGUUUUAGAAUUUUUCUAUAUUUUUAUGCUUUUUAUUAUAUUUAUUUAGGAUUCAAAUCACUUAGAUUUAGAUUGAGUUUUUAUUUUUUUUUUAUUUUUUUUAUCUUGUUUUAUUUCAGGAUUAGAUAUUGAAAAGGAGUGAAAAUAAAGGCAAAACCGUACUUGGCAUCUUUCCCAACGGACGAAACUGCUGCAAUAGCAACAAAUUUCACCUGCUGUUAUAUAGGCAUGUAGCAACACUUAAACCCCCGCAAUAGGUCCAACACAGACUAUAAAACUAGCGUCUAGUUCAGCUCCGCAACGGUGGGUGAGUUGGAGGUCCUCUCUUCCGGAUAGCAUCAUCAUGAAUGUUGAUGGUAGUGACUUGAGGGUGCCCCGUCGUGGUGGGUUUAAAGGCCGGGUGCGCUCGCACCGCUGCGGAGAGUGGAUUGCUGGCUAUUAUGGGCACCUCUCGGAUCCUGAUAUCCUCCACCUGGAGCUGCUUGAUAUUUUUCAUGGUUUAUCCCUGACUAGGAAUCUUGGUGGAGUCGUAGAAUGUCAGUCUGAUUCCCAGAAUGCAGUGGAUUUGGUGCUAGCUGUCUGUGCCUUCGUUACAACAUAUUUACGCGGCGCUCAUAUGAGACAUUAAGGACCUCUGGGGUCAUCCUUGGAGGGUGGAGCUUCGACAUACCCUCAGUGAAGGCAAUGCUUGUGCGGACUUUCUCGUCAAGUAUGGUGCUCGUCAGAAUGAGGGACUGGUCUUUCUUGCCACCCCGCUUGAGGGUAUGGGUAGCCUCCUAAUAGCAAAUGCAAUUGGUAUCUCGUUUUUGAGGCCUUAGUCUUGCUUUUCUUUCUCUUUCUUUUGCUGUUUGUUGCUUUCCCUUUUGCUUUGUACCAAAACAAAGGAUCCCACAUAGUUUGAGAAGUGCAGAGAUAUUUCAAAAUGCUUACAACAUUUAUUGUAUGAUAAUUAAAUUAAUAAUAAAUUCAGUUUUAUAAAUGCAGAGAAUCCUGCGACAAACAUCACAAUGCAAAAUUAAUGCAUGUCUAGUCAUCCUUAAUAAAAAGAGAAGCGUGAUCAUAAAAUUUCUCCAGAUCAGACAAAUCCUUUAUUUUAAGGAAAAAGUGUUAUGAUUAAAGUAAUUAACAAAAUAUCAUGGUCUAGAAACUUUUUCAGCCUCUUUUAAUUGAUUUCUGAAUCAAUCCGUAUAUUCUUUAAUAGGAAAACAUCUAUUUAUAUAGUAGGCUAAAAAUCACUUUUGACCCCUGAUAUUUUAAGUUUAUGCAAAUUCUGUCCCUACUCUAUUUUUAUCGAUGUUUCUACCCCUCAUGUUUUCAAACAGUGCACCGUCUACCCCUCCGUUAGUCAGACGUUGACAAACUAACGGUAUGAGCUGAUUUGACUUUUUUUUUUAAUAUUUUCUAGACAUACCACGUGGAUAUUACAAGUGAAAUUGGAAAAAGGGGGCAUGGGAGAUUCAAACUCAAGACCUGUAAGUAGCAAAACAUGCAUUUAACCAGUUCAGUUACAUACAUAAUUGAUAUACACAUCAAGCAAAUUUAAUUUAUAUCAUUUCCUUGAUCAUCAUCAACUUCAUAUACUCCUCUUCAUCUCUCCAAUCCACUCAGGAACCUCUCUUGAGAAAGCCUAACUGACGGAGGGGUAGAGGGUGCACUGUUUGAAAACAUGAGGGGUAGAAACGUCGACAAAAAUAGAAUAAUGGCAGAAUUUGCACAAACUUGAAACAUCAGGGGCCAAAAAUGCUUUUUAGCCUAUAUAGUACUAUGUAAAAGAGACUUGAAUAGAAAUGAAGACCCCUUAUUCAACUCCUUAAAAAAAAACUCACUAUCCUUCAAGAAGAAAAAUCAAAUUUGCCUAUAUAAAAUAUUAGACACUCAAAAAAUGAAACCUAGGUACGUAAUGUUUUCAUAUAUGAACAAAUAUCAAGAAUUAAUGAUAAAAUCUAAAUUAUUAAUAAAUAAUUUAGGCAAAAUAAUUUUAAAAUUAAAAUUAAAAUUUUCGCAAUAAGCUAUUUGUGUAUUAUUUGAAAAAAAAAUUAUAUAUUUUUUAAUCUAUUAUAUAUUAGUGAAAAUGACUUAAGAAGGAGGAAACUAACUAAAAAAAGAGUGAAAAAAUUUAAAUUAAAAAAAUAAUAUUUUACGUUAUUUAAGUUUUUAGCUUACCAAAAAAAACGUUAUUUAAGUUUUUUUAUAAGAGCUAUUAAAAUUACAAUUUAUUAUAAUUUUGAAAUUUAAAAUUAAUUUUUUUUGUUGAUAAAAGCACACAAAAUAUGUUAUUAUUAUAACUUAUUUGAUAAAAUAUUUUAACUUACAUAUUUAUUUUUUAUAUAAAAAUUAAAUUAAUUAUUAAAACUAAUUAAAUGCUAAUUAACUAUUAAAAUAAAUUAUUAAAUUUGAGUGUAUGUAUUUUUUUACACAAUGAAAACUCUAAAUUGUCUCAAGAUUUUUACUAUAUUUAUAAUUAAAAAUUAUUUUUCAUAUUGCUUUAAAGUAUAAUAAUUUUUAUAAUUUUAAAAAAUAUUGUGAAUAAACUCGUGCAAAGCACGGGUAUUAUACCUAGUUUAAUCUUAUUUUGUACUACUCAUAGCAAAUUAAUAACCUUACUUGGUGGUCAUUGAUUUUAUUUUUUUAUAGGUUAAAGUAUUGUAUUUAAAGGGAGUACAAGGGAUACUUCAACCCUUAAUACAAAAAGAGAAAAAGCAAGGAGACAAGAAGAGAAAACAAAAACUAAACAAACGGAUAGAAAGCUGAGGGUGUAAAUAACAUCCACAAUCCCUCCUAAGCAGGAAACAAAAUGUGGAAACAAACAGAUCGAUAGACUUGGUCAUUGAUGGUAUCAAAUUGUGUAGAACAACUCUUACUUGGGACUCCUACUUCGGGAAAUAAAAAACUUGGUAUCUUCCUUUCAAGCAGUGUCUUUUUCUCAUGUGAAUACUUGGUUCCAUUUACUCCCUACUUUUUCCUGAUGAAACUUUGGUUCCAUUCUAUUACAGCUUGUAUUCAAUCUUGUAAUACUUCAGAUUAAUAUGUGUCCAAUUUCGAUUAAUUGAAUGAAAAUAUUUGCCGUCAAAAGAAAAAUAACCAUAACCUAUUUUUCAUUUUAGUGAGAAGAAAUAAUAGUUUUUUUUAUAAGCCAAGAAAAAAUAACUAAAGGUGUGACACGGAAAAAAAGGUUUUCUCUUCUUUUCUUAAAGCAAAAGUUUUACGGAUGGAAUGGUUGAUUGUACAAACAGAACUCAACAAAGUGAGUAUAAUACCCUCUAAUAUUAUAUAAGAAUACCUAAAAUUUAAAUUGCUUUGGUGCGCCUAAAGAUAUAACUUUAAUAAUGCAACACCUAAUAAUUAAACACCUACCCUGCUCGACGACUUGGUUGAGUCUUGAUGUUGUAGGUGUCGAGCAACUUCAUUGACUUGUCGUUGUUUUUCGACUUGGAUUUUAGGGGUUUAAAGCACCUUUGUGUGCUUGCUAGCUUUAGCUAGCUAGUUAGGUUAUUUUACCCAUGUUGAGAGAGGUUGUUUCUCAACAUUUCUUAAAAUAUAUAUAUAUAUAUAUAUAUAUAUUAUUCUCUUUUCAAAAAAAUAAAAUAAACACAUACCCAUCAAAAAUUGCAAGAAAAACUCCGAGCGACAUUUUUUUUUGAUAAGCCAAGCAAUUGUAUUCAAAUAGCACAAGGGGUGCUAACCCAAGUACAAGAAGAAGAGAAAAUAACAAGAUAUUGUUGUAACAGAUAGCACAUUGACGAGGUUCAAACUCAGAUUAAGCACUAAAUGACCAAUGAUAAGGAGCAUAUGUCGGGGAUUGAGAUGUGGCAAGGAAAAACCAUAUAACCCAACAAAAGAAUAACUCAUCUCGCUAUUGGAGAGGACGCGAAAGUAUAAAAAACCUAAGGGGAACAACACCAGACCACGAUCAGCAGUCGGCCCGAAACUUUACCACCUUCACCGUUGACCUUAAGCAGCAUCCAGAUGCCUAGAACUACCAUAGCGCCCAAAUAGAUCCGUGAUAAUGAACAUCGCCACACUAGCUGAACCGUGUCUUCCGCCAUAACUCCACCUUGCAACACCUCACGAACUGAAUUGGAAGAAUCACCAGAUCUUUCGCUGACACCAAAUUUGCAGAAAGGUGGAGGAGAAUAAACAACAUUCAGCACACUGAAGGCACCAAUCCAAAACGAAACCCAGAAACACGGCGCAGGAAGCAUCAAGAAGAGAGGAGGUGUCGAUGAAGAGAAGAAGAAGCGGACCAUCAAAAAUGGUAUUUAAUGUAUAAGAGUUGAUUGAGAGAUAAAUUUAUAUAAUUCAACUUUAACACCAAACAAUGAACAAGCUACCUUCUUUAGAGCCUAAAUCGAAUAUUCAGACUGGGGUCGAAAGGCGGUAAGAAGCAAGGGAUUACUAAAAGCUUAGUAAGGAAGUCGACAAAUGACUUUAAAAAACCGAUUAUUUUCACAGAUCCGCUAAAAUAAAAAAGCCGAUUUGAGGUGGAACCGGUGAACCACGCGAGCUGGUUACAUGCGUGGGGCAGAGGGCUCGUAGUACCCCCUUUUCUUGAUCCAGCCUUUUCUUCACUUCGGUAGUGAAUCACCUACUAAACCUCAAGAUCAUCAGCGGACGACGCCUUAUUCCGAAAGUCCUCCCUCUUUGCUUUGCCCCAACGAAAGAGUAAGUCAGAUCGCUUUCUCCGCUCCGGGACUUUCCCUUGCAGGGCAUUUUCCUUGGAUGUAUUUUCUGCGAAACGAGCCAUAACAUAAGGGUCGAAUCUACUCUGUCAGGUUAGGUUAGGCUACUACUAAAGAUAGGAUGGAUUGUCAUGAAUGGUAGAUGUAGCGCAUCCCGCUCAUGUCUCGCAAUUUCAUAUAGGAAAGGAGGUUUUUUUAAUGGAUAGUUGUAAUUUCGGAAAAAAUAAAAAAGGGAAUCGCCUUGGCAGCCCGCUCUCACCUAUCCUCUCUUUCAUAAUCCUUAGCCCCCCCCCCCCCCCCGCUCAUGAAACGGCUCUGCUGCAAUGGAUGGCAGAUGGACAAGCAGAAGGUGAAGGUAAUAGAAGAGUGGGGAGUCCCCGUGACUCCAUGAAGAAAAGGUUCGUAUCCUUCGCGGCCACCAAUAGGCCUCAAAAUUGAGGGUUAAGAGAGAAUUCAGCAUAAUACCAUGGAUCUCAUAUAGGCUUUCUGGCCCUGGCCCGUAAAUGGACCUUUAUGAGCUUCUAUAAGAUAUUUUAGACCAUGACCAAUGCCCUGUUGGUCUCCUAUACAUGUGACCGGCUAUCAAGAAAAAAAAUGGAAUGGAAAGGGAUAAAUUCUGGUGUGCAAUGUUAACACAAAAAAGAAUUUUUUGAUUUUGGAUUUAAUAAAUAUUUAUGGAAGAAUGAGUUUUUUUUUUCCGCCUUAGUGUGGAAUAGAAAUAUACCUAUUGAAUUUUCUGAACAAGGAAUGAAAGUGAAAGAAAUAAAGUCUUAACUCCUCGCGUUUUAUUGUAUCGGCUAAAAACCCUGUUAAUUGAUCUCUGAUGGUUGAUGUUGGAGGUUGGCCUGCCUUUGACGAUCUAGUAGCUCUACUCCAACCAAUCCGGAGUCGCACCAACGGAUACUGUCACAGCUAAUUGAUUUAAGGAUAAUUUCCCUUUCUCCAUUUCCGAAGUUGUAAUUGCAUAUGCCCCCUUUUCUUUUCCCUGUAUUGCGAAAAUAGAAAAAAGAAAGGGUGAAAAUAUGUGAUUUCACCCGAUCAAGGUUUUCCUAAAACAAAGACCUAAACACCAAAAGCUUAUUUCCAUUCAUUCAUGCUCCUUGACCUUUAGAGGAAAGCGAGCAAGAUCCCUUCAUCGGAAGGGAGCGGAAGUGGGAAGAAGAGGCUAAAAGUGCGUAACAAGAGAAACUUGCUGGUUGCCGAGGACAAGAGGGAAGAAGCGAGUUAUCAAUAUGUGCGACACCAACUCUUUUGUUUUCACUUCUUUUUCAUGCCGCGGUGAAUAUGUACCCGGGCCCUGUACACACCGCCCGUCACACUCUGGGAAUUGGUUUCGCCCGAAGCAUCAGACCAGUCCGUUCUUCUUUCCUCCUCGGUGAAAGAGGGCAAAGGUGGAACGAAGUCUCCGAAAAAUCCUUUCUUUCUCGUCACCGUGUCCCGCCCCGGUUAUUGGACAAGGACGAGCUCCAUACCCGACAGAGAAAACUUGGUGCGAAUCGGGAGGUCCUUCUUCCGGGACGGAGCCGUAUGACUUGUUUUGUAUCUUGAGUGAUUCGGUUGGUAUGUGUUGAAAAAAUAUAUUUCAACAUUUUACCUGUAAUUGGUUUGGUUCGUUGUUUGGAGCUUAUUUAGAUCAAUCUAAACCGAAUAACAUCCCUACUAAAGUAGAUUAAUCCAGAAGCUGUUUUAGAGGGAGGUCCAGAUGGUAAAACAGAGCUUGAGAACCCGGGAGAUAAACGGAAAACAUCACAGAAGCUCUCCACAAGUGGAGCCAUGAACAGGUCGCAUAGUGGCGGCGGAGGGCCCUCUAAGAGUUCUACUCCGAGGGGGACAAAGUGGCAAAGGAAACGGUCCGGGAACUCAUCUUCUGCUCCGGACCGGUCUGGAACGGGGGCAACACCUCCUCUAAAGAAGAUGAACACAGAGAAUGGAUUGGGAUCGGCGGAGACUGCUAGGCAAUCCCGCCCACCUCAAUGAAGCUCAUAGCUACGAACUGUCGCGGGCUUGGGAACCCAGGGGCAGUUCAAGCCGUCAAGCGGCUAAUUUCUACAGAAGCUCCCGACGUGCUCUUUCUUUCAGAGACACGUAAAUCAGCACAUGAAAUGUUAGCUAUGCGUUAUUCUUUUGGUUUUGCUAAUUUGUUUCCUAUAGAUUGUGCAGGUAGAGGUAAAUCUCGUGCAGGAGGCCUUUGUUUGCUUUGGAAUGAUGAGACAGAGGUUCAGGUGACACAUGGUUCUCUCAAUCAUAUUCUUUGCAUGGCAGUUCACCCAGAGACAGUGACUAGAAUGCAGAUUCUUGCAAUUUAUGGUUUCCCAGAGUCGCAUAAUAAACAUCGCACUUGGGAAUUAAUUCAGCGCUUGAAGCCUCCGGAUACAACACCUUGGAUUUGCUUGGGUGAUUUUAAUGAUGUGUUGGGUCUAGAUGACAAAUUGGGAGGCGACCCAGUUGACGUGCACCAUUUACAGAUGGUUAGCCAAAUAGUGUCAGAUUGUGGUCUUACUGAUGCGGGUUACUCGAGCUACCGUUUCACUUGGUCCAAUAAGCGAAGCAUACCUGCAUCCAUUGAGGAACGUCUUGAUUAUGCUCUCAUUAAUGAGAGUUGGAGGGCCCUUUGGCCGUGUGUGGAGGUCUCUCAUCUUCCUAGACUGAGUUCAGAUCAUAAUCCCAUCCUAGUCUCAUGCGGGCAUCGCAGAACAGAAGUUAGUCGCUCAGGCUCACGGAUGUUCAGAUUUGAAGAGGUGUGGCUACAGGAUGGUGAUGAGUGUGCAGAGAUAGUGGCCGCGAUAUGGUCUGGAGAGCAUGGGGACAUUACUGGAAAAAUUGCUAACAUUGGAGAAGCUCUUCAAGCAUGGGGGAGAGAAAAGUAUGGCGCUAUUCCAAAAAAGGUGUCAGCUAUGAAAACUCGCCUUCAGAAUCUCCAGCAUAGUGUUCAGACAGAGGUGGUGGUAGCUGAGAUGAGGUCUACAGAGGCUGAGCUGGAUAAUUUGUUAAAACAAGAAGAGAUCCUUUGGAGCCAGAGGUCUAGAGCCACUUGGUUGUGCCAUGGGGACCGAAACACAAAAUUUUUCCAUCAGAAAGCGACCCAGCGCAGGAAGAGGAAUAAAAUUGAAGAAUUAGUGGAUGACGGCGGGAGAAAAUGGACGGAUAUCAAUAAUAUUGCUAGGGUUUUAACUGACUAUUUCUCUCAACUUUUCAGCACGUCUAAUCCAACGGAGAUAGAGGGAGCCACUAGUCUCGUGGCAAACCGUAUUACGGAGGGCCAUUUGGCCGUUUUGAACUCCCCCUUUACCAGGGAGGAGGUGGAAGAGGCUAUCUUCCAUAUGCAUCCGACAAAGGCUCCUGGCCUUGAUGGCUUACCGGCGCUUUUCUUUCAGAAAUUUUGGCACAAACUCGGAGAUGAUGUCUCUAAUUUUUGCCUGGAGGUGUUGCACAACAGGAUUUCACCAGGUUCGAUUAAUAAAACUCUUAUUGUUUUGAUUCCUAAAAUUAAAAAAUCAGUUCAUGCAACCCAUUUUAGACCUAUUAGCUUAUGUAACGUUAUUUUUAAAAUUAUUACAAAAACUAUUGCUAAUAGAUUAAAGAUUGUCUUAUCUGAUAUUAUUGUUGGGCCUCAAAGUGCUUUUGUUCCAGGACGUUUAAUUACGGAUAAUGCACUUGUGGCAUAUGAGUGUUUUCACUUGAUGAAAAAGAAAAUGUAUGGCCGUAAUGGCAUGAUGGCUUUAAAGUUGGAUAUGUCCAAGGCCUACGAUAGGGUCGAAUGGUCGUUUCUUCAGAGUGUGCUUCAUCAGAUAGGUUUCCCUUCUGCAUGGGUAUCACUAAUUAUGGCCUGUGUGACGACAGUUCAGUUUCAGGUGAUGCUUAAUGGCAAUCCACAGGUUCCAUUUGAUCCAGGCAGAGGGUUGAGACAAGGGGAUCCCCUCUCCCCUUAUUUAUUUAUACUUUGUGGGGAAGUUUUCUCUGCUCUGAUUCAAAAAGAGAUUGUUGCUUCAUCUCUUCAUGGCAUUAAGAUUGCCCGUUCGCCAUCUGCUCCUAUGAUCUCACAUCUUCUUUUUGCAGAUGACAGUGUAGAUUUUGCUAGAGCCACUAUGGAGGAAGCUCACACUAUUCGUAAGGUCCUUACUUCCUAUGAGCAAGUUUCUGGCCAGGUCAUUAAUUUUGACAAAUCUAUGCUAUCCUGUAGCCGCAAUGUUCCUAGUCCCCGCUUCAAUGAGCUGAAAAUGCUGUUGGGUGUGAAGGCUGUGGAUAGUUAUGACAAAUAUUUGGGUUUACCCACCAUUAUUGGUAAGUCAAAAACCCAAAUUUUUAAUUUUGUCAAAGAAAGAGUUUGGAAGAAGCUCAAAGGGUGGAAGGAACGCUCCCUCUCUAGAGCAGGACGAGAGGUUCUUAUUAAAGCGGUAGCUCAAGCUAUCCCUUCUUAUAUUAUGUCGUGCUUUAUCUUACCUGAUGGUUUAUGUGCACACAUUGAGAGAAUGAUUAGCCGGUUUUACUGGAGUGGGGAUGCUUCCCGACGUGGGAUCCAUUGGCUCAAAUGGAACUCCUUAUGCAGGUCCAAGCUCGACGGUGGGAUUGGCUUCCGUGAUUUCAAAGCUUUCAACACAGCUUUAGUAGCCAAGACUUGGUGGCGUAUUCAGAUGCAGCCAGAGUCUCUUUUGGGCCAAGUUUUUAAGGCCGUGUAUUUUCCCCGGACCACCCUGAGUGCUGCUAAGAAACAUGCGCGACCAAGCUAUGCUUGGACUAGCAUUUCACGCACAGCAUGGGUGUUCAUGGAGGGAGCUCGAUGGAAUGUUGGUGAUGGCAAAGAGAUUGAUAUUUGGAGGGAUAAUUGGCUUCCAAGUGGAAAUCCCCUGAUUUAUCGCAAUGAUUUAGCCCAAACGGGUAAUCUAACUCAUGUUUGUCAUUUGAUGGUUCAUGAUAUGCAGGUCUGGGAUAGGGAUCUCAUCGAGCUAGUCUUUUGGCCACCCACAGCGAAGGAGAUUCUAGACAUCCCGUUACCUUGGAAGCCAUCACCUGAUGCACUAUUUUGGCCUUGGACAAUAGAUGGGGUAUACACAACCAAGACGGGCUACGCUUUUAUUCGUCAACGACGCUUGCAUGAUGAGGCCUCCACCUCGUCCAACAGGGGUCAAAAUCAGCAAGCUAGUUUCUGGAAAGCCGUUUGGAAAGUUCAUGCUCUACCUCGGGUUAAGGAUGUAGUGUGGCGAGCUGUUGUGGGUAUUUUGCCGGUCCGCCAUGCCUUACGGAAGCGCGGGAUUGAGAUUGAAGAUGUGUGCCCCUUCUGCCAGGACAGCGCGGAAACAAGUGCCCAUGUGCUCUUCCAGUGCCCGAUAGUGGCACGUUGGUGGUAUGCAGCUCCCUUGAGCGUGCGGUUUCAACCUGCAGAGGAACCAGCAGAGUUUGUUAAGCAGAUUAUGGCCACUAAGGAUGAUGAGGUAAUUGCUAUGGGUUUCACUCUUAUUUAUGUUAUAUGGGAGCAUAGAAACAAGUCAGUUCAUGACUAUGUUCAGCCCUCCUUGGAUGCGGUUCUGCAACGUUUGGCUGCUCUGCUGUGCUAUGAUGAUGCGGCGGUUCUUCCUCACAUGGCAACCAGCACCGCUGAUCAACAACCAAUGGUGUGGAGAAGACCGGUAGGACAGUUCAUUAAGCUGAACUUUGAUGCUUCUUGGACUUUGGCCACAGGUGCAGGUAUGGGUAUGGUUGCGAGAAACUCAAAUGGUGAGGUCAUGGCUGCAGCUACUAAUGGUCCUGUAGGCGCUCCUUCACCUCUUGUUGCAGAGGCUAUGGCUUUCAGAUGGUGUAUUUCUUUGGCUCGAGAUCUUGGUUUUUUCCGGGUGGUGCUCGAAACGGAUUGCUUGCAACUGUUUGAGGCUUGGUAGCAGAACAAGCGUGGUGCUUCUUAUUUGUUUUCUGUUUUAAAUGACUGUAGGGCAAUGGUCUCAUUUUUUAUUAGCUUUCAUUUAUCUUUUGUUCGCCGCUCUGGCAACGCAGUAGCUGAUUCUUUGGCUAAGAGCUCCUCAAAAUUUUCCAACGUUGUUUGGAUUGAGGAAGUCCCGCCAGAGCUUGUCCUUUUGGUGUCUUCAGAUGUUUUAGCCUCUAUGGCGCUUUAAGUUUUAAUAUAUUAUCCACUUUCAAAAAAAAAAGUCGGAUUCAUUAAGCAGAAAAUUAAAUAUGUAUUGGUUUUAGCCUUUCAGGAGAUAAGGUUGGCUAAAAAAUAGAUCAAGUACAAGUUUGAUGCACCAAAUUAAAGCCGCCAGAUGUUUGUAAAUCAUCACAUGGGCAACUACCACGUCAGUGCUUACGUCACAAAAGCGUUUGCAUAACAUUUAAACUGAUAAGUGUUUUUAAAAAAAUUGUUCAUUCUAAUAAUAAAAAGAACUUAUAAAAUAGUGCAAGUAAGCAUAGUAGGAGCACCACUACUAAAAAAAUUUCAAAAGGGAAAAGAUAUUAUUUAUUAAUAUUCUUGAGUACAAGAUUUUAUGCAUCCAACUAACUGAAAAUUUAUUUUUCAAGCCUUCAAAAUUUUAGAACUGAUCAGCAACCGAAAGAAGAACAUAUAAUUAGAGAAACUAAUGCUAAUGUAUUCAUGUAAUUAUAUAUUAAAAUAACCCUGCUUUCUGAUUAAAAUUCAGUCAUUGAUUUUUCAUGACAACAAAAUAUAUAAUCAUAUCAAAAUAACAGUGCUUAUGGGAACAAACUCUUCCAGUGAGGGUGUCAAUUACACAUACAAUCCUAAACAUCAAUACUAGUUUUAUAGCAAAAGCAACACAACCGCCAAAGUCUGGAAGUAACAUAAUGCGACCCUAACACAAAAACCAUCACUAAACAAAAAAAACUAAACAAAGCAGGACUUAAACAACCAUGAAUCAAAGCAACAUGGCCUUCGAGGACAGCACCGGAUGCAAAAAACCACACACCAAGCCUUGAGACUCGAUCAAGUACCAUAAAAUCAAGACAACAUCAAACCACAAGCUACUGCGUUCCAUUAGAACAUGUUCACCUGGUGAAUUUUUUUUCAUCGGAAACAAACUAAAUUAACUUAAAUCAAAACAUAGGUGACUUUCUUUUAUAGUUAGAAGAUUGUAAGUCUAGUUUGGACUUUUACUUGCUAUACGAUAAGAAAUUGUAGAAUUAGGAAAAUGCUAAUUUAGAUGAUGAGUUCGUUUCAUAAGAAUAUUUGAGUAGUUGGAUAUUAGGCAUUUGACAUUUUUUGUUAGUUUCGAAGUCUCGCCAUGGAAAUCAACCUUCAAGGUUGCAAACUUGCAUGUUAGUUUAUAUUAUGUUGAUUUUUCAAAUCCUUGAUUGUUUCUUCAUCGAACCUUUCAAACAAGAGACUAAGGUUCUUCUCAAUCUCUCAAACCUUUUCUCAAUCUCCCUUCGUCUUUCUCAGGGAUGUUUGGUGCUCUGCACAUAAUUGUGUUUUUAGCUCACAUGAAAUACUCUUUACUGUAUUCCAAUAUGUCUUCUCGAGUUGUUGUAUACUCCUGAUCUAGGAUGACUCUUUCAAUUGUUAUGUUUCUCUUCCCCUAUUUCACGUGAAGACCCUUGAUUGAAUAAUGAUAUUAUACUCUACAUCUUAUGUUGAAAAGUCUUACAUUGACUAGAGAUAUAUACGGCCUAGAUGACCCUUAUAUAUGGGAAGAUAACCCUCCACUCUUAAGCUAGCUUUUAAGGUUGAGUUAGGCUUCUCAAAUUCUAAUAUCUUACUUAUAUUGUUCACAAUGAUGCCUUUCUUUCUUUCUUUUUUGGUCAAAGCAAUGAUGCCUUUCUUAAGACCCUUAUGGCCCUCAUUUCCAAGAAGCCCGUUAGCAAGAAGCCCAAACUUUGAAUCAUUAUGAACCACAGGCCCAUAUUUAAGUUUACCUCCAUAGACUUCUUCCAAUCAGUUAAAAAUCUCCAUAUGAGGUAUUUCCUUUGCCCUAUUACCUUGGCCCAUUGAACUCCGUACAAAAUCUUCAUUGUCUUCGAUAUGAUGCGAGCCAGGUGAUUAGCUUCUCUUGUUGGAUUUCAACCAUUGACCAAAAAAAAAAAACAUUUAGGAAACUCACAUUUCAUAAAUCAUUAUGUGGUCAGGGACAUCACUACCAUAUCUCGGAUUAGUUACAUAGACUCAUUUUCACCUUGGAGACUGAUGGCCAAAGACAAAAAAAAAUUAUUGAGCUGCGAAAUUUUAUUUUGCUCAGUUAACUAAUAUUGGAGCCUCACAAUCUGCUAAUUAUCAACCUUAAGAAAGAAUAAAAUGGUUUAAAACAUCAGAUAAGGAUCCACAUAGUUUGAAAAACUGCAGAGACACUAAAUGUUUAAAACAUUUUUAUAUGAUGAUAAAAUUAAUAAAAAGUUCAGUUUAAAAAAUUCCAACAGUUGGACUGGAGAAUUCUUUAUACCAGAAAUACAGAGAAUCCCGGUGCGAUGAACAUCAAUGUAAAAUGCAUGUCUAGUCAUCCAAAUCCCGGUGCAAUGAACAUCAAUGCAAAAUGCACGUCUAGUCAUCCUUGUCAUCAUUUUUAAUGGAUGACUAGACGUGCAUUUUGCAUUGAUGUAUUUCUCAUCUUAAUAAAAAAAAGGUGAUUAUGAAAAAGCUCCAAAUAAAUCCUUUAUUUUAAAGAAAAAAGUAGUAUGACUAAAGUGGUAAAGUUUAGGUUGUUAGUUCAUUUGAUUAGAGGUGAUUGACCAUCGUUGAUUGAUCACCAGAUACACCUAUGAAAUCCCAGAUUUAUCAAUUGCAUCAACCCACACCAUCCAUGAAAAGGAACAAUGUAGCAGCAAGUGGUUAGAGGACUCUGCAAUGAACUGCACGAGCUACAGAAAAUUCCCUCAUCUAAAUUCACACCUCUAGCCACCAAUUUAACUUCUUAAAAAAUUCUCUUUUCCUGCAAGGAACAGAAAGAUUUUACUAAAAAAUUGCCAUUUAAUUAAAUCCAUCCAGAGCACCUUUUAAGGAUAAUACCUCUUCUACAUCAUUAUUCGCAAAAAUCAGGAUAUCGUCCGUGAAUUGCAAGUAACUGAUCACUAGAACCUUAACCAUAGUCACUCUUGCUAAAAUUCAAUAGUUCUACACCUAAACAAUUUUCAAUUGAAUAAGGAUUGAAUUUCUCUUUAUUUAUAUUAUUACAAAAAUUAACUCACAUCUGUCUAGCCCUUAAUUUAUAAGGUAAUCUAGGAAAAUAAAUAAAAAUAAAGUAAAAAGAAUUUACAAAUGCAAGAUAAACUAUCUUUAUACGCUUAACCAACACUUGCACGAAUGUUUAUGCCAUGACUUCAAAUAAGUUAUUCAAAACUCACAAGAUUAAAUUUUAGGAUUUAAGCAGCAGGUUUAUGCAGAUUUUGUUCAAUUCCAAAAGGUGCUGAUAGUCCUGAGCCUUCUGUAUCCUCUCUAGAGAUUUCCCCUGAAGCCAUUACAUCUUGUGCCCCCUCAUUGUCAAUGCCAUUUGGUUGAUGCUCACUUUUAGAAGAUUCAUCGUGAAACUUUGAAACAACAUUAUUAUUGCUCUUACUAUUGGUGCAGCUAUUGUUGCUGGUGUCACAAUUGCCAUGAUGUAUGGAAACAACAUCAGUAGCUUCAACUUCUUGGGUAUUUUCUGACACCAAGUCCUUCCUCUUUUUUGUUUCUUUACUCUUACCCCAAAGCACCAUGUACAAGCCACACACAAUUAGCACUCCUCCGAUAACACUAUAACAUGUUUCAAAAAAAUAACAAGAGUGAGUCAAACAUAUUGUACUUUCUCAAUUGCAAUAUGGGGCAUUCUACUAUAUACCACAAAAUAAAUGGUACAUCAAUCAAUACACUACUUGUAACUUAUUGAGUUUAGAAUGCGUUUGAGAAAACGGUUUAACAAUACGCUUAUUCAUAAACUAAUUUAAAAAAUUUACUAAAAUAAGUUGAAAAUAUGUUAUGAAUAAACAUAGAUUUUUAUUCAUUAGCUAUUUUGAACACCUUAUGAAAAUAAGCUAAAACAACUUUUAUGUAGGUCAUAAGCUCUCUAAAAAGCAUAUUAAUGUAUACCUUCCUAAGUAUAUCUUCUCAUUCAAAACCAGGGAACUACCAAUAGCCACAAUAAUAAGGGUAAGAGGGUUGAAAACAGAUGCAAACAUGGGACCUCUCACCCGUACACACCAUGCAGUGGCAACAUACACCACUCCAGAGGACAUAAUUCCCUGCAAAAGUUACAUGUUUCAAUAUCAUUGUUGCAUAAUAUUAGUUCACCCAUCCAACCACAAUGUAAUAGAACAAUUAGCAUUUUUUUGAAAACAAAAAUUAAUUUUAUAAUAUUCAUAAAGUUUAGAACAAAAGUCUCUCAAGUGAGCAACGAAACCAACUGAAACCUACCAGGGCAGCACAUAAACAUGGAAUUGAGAAAAGGACUAAAAUGAUCACCAUACCGAGUAAGUUGCGGUUAGAAGCCUAAGACUCCAACCUAACUUCCAUUGGCUCCAAUCCUUCUCAACCCAAAGGGCGAAGACAGUACAUUGUAUUGCCGCCAUUAAGGUCAUCAAGGCCGUGCUUGUGUAUUGUCUUGGAUAUUCUUUAGCAAUCUUAGCCUGUGCGUUAUAGGGUGGUCAAUAGUGAAAACAAGAAUAUCGUUACAGCCUGAUCAUGUGAUAAGUUAGAUAGAAGUGUGUAAUGAAUUUACCUGGAUGAUGAGCCAGAAUGAAAAGCUUAUGCAGCUUCCAAUACCACAUAAAACACCGAUUGUUUUUGUUCUAGUGUCAACAUUCUGUGUUCCUCCGUGGCCAUUUUGAUUUUGAUGCAAAAGAUUAAUGUGGGAGGUCCAAAUGUGAAUUUCUGCCCCUUUGAAAAAUGUCAGCAGCAUUGAUCCACCAAUUCCAACUAUUGUUCCCAACAACUUCACCUGCCCUGCUGCUCUUCCUAUGUUUAACUGUUCGAAGCUGAAAAUUUCAAAAGAACUUUAGUACUUAUCAAUCUUUCUUGAGUGAAUGUCAUCUAGGUUCCAGAAACAUAUUGUCAAUGGCAAGUUAGUGCCUGUCUUGCUUGAGUGAAUGUCAACUUGGUUCCAAAAACAUUUUGUUAGUACCUAUAAGAAGAAAAUACAUUCAAAAGUUCAAUCUACAUAAAAUGCCAAUCAAAUUAAUUAAUUAAAACGUCAAUUAGAAACUAAUUUGACGGACUUGAGUAGUUAUCAAUUUUCUGAAGUAUAUGCUCAGUUUUGUGUUUGAAAUUUUUGCAGUUGACAUAUUGAUCAACUAGAACAUCAGUCAAGUUAGCCGAUGUUGGGACUAAUUUGACUGAUAUUUUACAUGUUCAAAGACUUUUGAAUGCAUUAUUUUUUAGGAACUAACUUUUCAAGCACAAAAACUCUUGGGAACCAAGUUAACGCUUCACUCAUUUUUCUUAAUUAUAAAAGAAGAUAAAAAAAGAUUGAAGUACUGUAAAAUGUGAAUAGGUACCCGAAAAAGAUGCCCAACAUAAAUGUGAUUCCAGGAACGAGAUUAUAAAUGGCAGUAGCAAAUGUUGCUGAUAUCAGAGAGAUAGCAUUGACAAAGAGGUUUUGGAAUAGAGUCCCUCUGUUUAUAUCAUUAUUAAACAUAAACCAAUGUUCAAAAUCACUACAAAUAAACAAUAUGUACAAUACAAUUUAGCAAUACAUGCCCAAUAAUUAAAAGAAAUACCUCUCAGGAAAAGAGAUGAAGACUGAAGAGUUCAGAUCAGACAUACCCAAAUAGGCCGGAAAGAAAUGUCAUGAAAAGCACCCUCCAUGUCAGCUUUGGCCUGUUCUUUCUGCUUCAAAUUAAAAAAAAAAGAACAGAAAAAUUAAAUUAGAGGACAAAACACUAUGCAUGUUCAUUUUAGCCCUUAAUAUGCGAGCCCAACACAAGUGCAUAUCCAUGAUUUUAUUGUUGGAGACACAAAUAAAAUGUGGAAAAAUCUACAAAGUUUAUAGGGAAUGAACUGAGAAUAAUUUUUUUUUUAUACAAAAAUCAUAUAAUUGAAAGGGCUUUUAUCAGAUCUCUGAAUUAAGAUAUAUUUCUACAUAGUUUAAAAUGUGUUUGCAAGUUUAUAGGGGAGAGAAGGGGAGGCUUUGAGGGGAAAACAGAUGGGAAGACAAUGAAGGGAUUGUGUGCAAAACUAGAGAAGCAAUUAACAGGGGUUAUGAAUAAAUGAACCUUUCAAAAAUAAGAGAAAGAAGAAUAGUGCAAGCAGCACCGAACAUGAGGCGAUAGGCAGUGAUUACACUAACGCUCAUUCCAUCGUUUAAGACAACCUUGUAGAGAACAUUUGCAGAAGCAUAAACAAUCUGAACCGCCACCAUUAGCAGAACAGGGCUCAACCCUUGCAACCCUACCCAUAAACCUUUCAUUUUGCUUGCUGUUGUGAAUUGUCUUAGACAGAUUUAAGAAGGGAACAGAGAAAAUAAUUAAGACAUACGGAAAUUCUAUAGAACAAUGUACAAAGUGGAUUUAUAUUUAUUUGUGCAUAACAUGCUCUAUGAUAAAUGUACUGGAAUUGGUUCCAAGUUGAAAAAACAAAGCAUGCAUUUAUUUUAGCCUUAAAUUCCGGUUUACUCUAGUACAGAGCAUUUGACCCAGGUUGGACAUCGUGAUCGUGUAGCUGAAAACAGGAGAGUGCGUUGUACCUGUGUAGUCUAUAAAUGUUUUUUGAACGCUAGUCUAUAAAUGUUAGGAGAAAAUUAAUACAAUUAAAUACCGAUUUUGUCUAUAUAGGGUAUAUAUAUAUAUAUAUAUAUAUAUUAAGAGUGAUAAAUAAUCUAUUCCCAAUUAAUUAUACUACAAAAGAAAAUUUCACUUGACAUAUAUGACAAUAUGAAUUAAUUAUAAUUGACUUUUGUAUCAUAUUCAUUGUACUAAAUAAUAUAUUAAUUUUAAAACCUCUCAUACAUAUCUUUUUUUAAAGAUAUAUUCUCUUGCCUACCAUGAGAAGGUUGUUCUCAUGAUCGUUCUUAUUAAUAUCAUUUCUAUUUUCUCAAAAAAAAGGAUACAUAUCCUUAUCCAAAGAAAAUUGUUUAUACAUAUUACUAGUAUUAAUCUCGCGCCAUACACGGAUAGAAUAAGAGUGCUUUGUCGGCAUACAUCAAACAUUUUCAUAUUUUCUCUCUCUUUUUCUCCCUUUUUUCUUUUUUAAAUACAUAUAUCACUUAUUUAAGUUUUUUUUUCUAAUUAUAGUUACAUUCUAAUUUCUCUAGUUUUUUCUUCUAAUUUGUUAUGUUUUGAAUCAAAAUAUCAAAAACAUUUUUAUCUUCCAGAUAUUUAUAUCCAGAUAUAUAUAUAUAUAUAUAUGAAAACAUAAAAUACAAAAAUUUUGAGUUAACUUCCAAAUCAAUCAUUUUUUUUGUACAUCGAAAAGAUAAAUUGCACCCUCCUGGGAUGGAACCCUGGACCUCCCACUGCACGCCCAACUCAUAUGUUCCCUAACUCUUAACACUUGAACUAUUAUUCAGGAAGUCUAAAUCAAUUCUUUAAAACUUUUUGAUAUCAAAUUCUCUAAGGCAUAUAUAUUUGAUAUCAUUGUCAAGAUAGGAUAUUACAUUCAAUUUUUUUUUUUUAUAUAAAAAAUAACCAUAAUCAUUAAAAAAAAUUCUUUAUCAGCAUACAUCUUAAUGGUAGAAAAGUUACAAUUGACUUUUAUUAAUUAUUCUAAUGUCAUUAAAAACCAAUAAAUAUCAAAUUAAUGCAAUAGUUAUUUUCGAAAAAAGUAACAAUUGACUUUUGUUAAUUAUUCUAAUGUUAUUAAUAAUUAUUAAAUGUAAAAUUAAUACAUUAAUUAUUUUUAAAAACAUAUAAUUAUUUAAUACUUAAAUUAUCAAAAAUAUCAACAUCAUCUACAUACUAAUUAGGGCCCGUUUGAUAUGUUGUAUAGUAUUAGAAUUGAUAGUAUAAGGUCUAAUUGUAUUAGACCUGAUAUGAUAAGGCCUGAUAAAAUUUUAAUACUAUACAACGUUUGGUCAUACAUUGUAUAAUUUGGUAGCAACAGUAGUUGUGGUGAGAGUGAUGGUAUUUGUAACGCCCCGAAUUUCGGGUGUCACUUUAGUAACCUAUCAAAGUAAAUAUGCAAUAUUUUCCAAACGAAUGUAUAAACACGAGUAUUAUUUUUUUUUUCUUUUCGAAGUGUAUUUCCAAAACAUGUCAUGCAUACUCUCAACUACAAAGCCUAACCAAUAGAAACAACUCAACAAAACUAUUAUGCAAUGACACCAUGAAUCCGACAUACUCCCUACGAUCUCCACAUCGGGAAACCGCAGGAAAGCAAUGCAUCGGAACCUACCCGAAACCUCAAAUAUAAAUUCCUAAAAUCUUUAUGCAAGCUUAAACCAAUAACAGUAAGCUCUCUAACCCAAGGAUCUAGCCUUAAACCAGACUCUACUCGUCGAGUACUCCACUAUCCUUCAAGUCCUCAUCUCUACUUGCACAAAGGUUAAGCUCCUUCGAAGAUUCUUCGUCGCCUAAUAGCGUUAAGCGCCCAAACAACAAAUAACAAACAGAAAGGGUUAACUCCAUGCAAUUACCACGUAGAAAAGAGAAAAACAUGUUAUUCAAAUUUAAGUGCAUAUCAUGGCACAUAAACUAGCAACUUAUUUCAAGAUAAAUGACAACAUAUAUCCAACAACAUGAAAUCAAAUCAUAUAUCAGCAAAAUCAACGAUUUGAAUUUAACUCAGAUAUCAACAACUUAGCAACAUAGAUACGACAAACAGAUAAGCUAACAAUAUAAUCAAAGAUAGAUAUCAAUAGAAGCAACAACAUAGAAUUAAACCAGAUAUAAACAACCUCAACAACAUAGAAUCAACUCAUAUAUAUGACAAUAACCUCAAAUCAGAUAUCAACAACCUUAAAAAUAUACAUCAAAUCAAAUAUCAACAAUCAUCAACAAUAUAACAUCAAAUUAGAUAUCAACAACCUUAAAAAUAUAACAUCAAAUCGGAUAUCAACAACUUCAACAAUAUACAUCAAAUCAAAUAUCAAUAACCUCAACAAUAUAACAUCAAAUCAGCUAUCAACCAAAACAUCAGAAGCAAAUAUUAUUGCCCUAUAAUGCAACUAUAUGCUGCAACAAAAAUGGAUCGAUCAAUAAUGUCUCGCAAGACGGGACAGAGCGAGGAACAGACUCCCCUGAACUAUCACCAAAUAACGCCCAUGAAAGACGGGACAAACGGAGAACGGACUCCCCUGAAUGCCACUUAAUAACGCCCAUGAAAGACGGGACAGUCAUGUGAAAAUAUCCACUCCACUGCCACUUAAUAACGCCCAUGAAAGACGGGACAGACGGAGAACGGACUCCCCUGAAUGUCACUUUAUAACGCCUCGAAAGACGGGACAAUCCCGUGGGACAAACCCACCUCAUCGCCACUUCAAGCAAACCAAAACAUCUCAUCCAACUCAGUAGUCACUCAAACAACAAUCCCAAAUUCCCUAAUCAAAUCAAGAUAAUCACAUGUUAUUCAUAUUAUCGACAAACAUAAAUCAAUUCAAUGCAUACCAGAUCAGUUCAAUGACAGAAACCAGUAAACGACCGAAGCCUCUCAGAAAACGGAGACACACGUCUCAAUAAGUUCACUCGGCCGAAGCCUUCAGAAAACAUUUAGCACAAGCCUCAGAAAUAGUCAACAUAAGCAAGCAUACAACAUUGAAAGCAUACCAACAUUUCAAUCAAUUGCCAAUCAAGUUUAAACAAACUUCAUCUCAAACGCAUGCAGUGCGAUAAAAGCAUGCAAGACUCAAAGACACUCAAAAAAUGAGUUACCCUUACCUUAGCCAAUUUCUCCAUCCAAGCUCAACAUCCCAGUCCAAUCCAAAAUAAAGCUCCCGACCCAGCAAGUUCCCCGGGCGUCCUCCUCAGUUGUGAAACCUCACCAAUUGCUCCAAAAUCUCUUUCCUCAGCUCAACUCGUUCCAAACCUUAAGCAAAGUAUCAUUGCUUAGUCGCUAAGAAACAAAACAACUAAUAACACUAUCAAAACCCGAAAAGAAGCUUCGAAGCUCUAGAGUUCGACAUUUAGGCACGAAUGGACAAUAAGACAGGUUUUCGCUGAAAUGCGCAUAACUCGAGCUACAGAACUCGGAAUGACACGAAACCAACGGAAAAAUUUCGACAAUUGAAAGAGCUACGCAAUGGCUCAGGUCAUAGAGACCCAAAAAUUAUUUUUGGACACGGUACCCUAACAAACAGGUUUCGGCCACUUUAGAAAAUAGGGUUUCCGAACUUUUUCUUCGAUCUAAAUCAAUUCCUAGGUAUUCUUAGGCGAUAUCUAGGCCAGGGAAACUCUCAGAAAAAUUAUCGGGUCGAAAACUGUCGCAGGGGUAUUUUGGUCAAUAUUUUUAGCUCGGAAACUCAAAAUCAGAAUUUCGAAAAAUAAAUUAGAUGGGGUCGAUACCAACGACGAUUAUGACGACUAAUCCUACUGAUGCUAAGCUCAGUCGAGAUUUUUUGACUCAAAAAGCGGAACCUCAGCAUAAAAUGGGUUUUUAGUCAGUUUUUCAGAUCUACGGCGACUCGGUGAAAAUCCGAACGAUCCAACAGUGAUUAUAGCAUGUUGGGUUGCAGUAGAAGAUAGUUGGAAAGAAAAAUCGAGGUAAUCAGACAUUUUUACAAAAAGUUCUAAACUUUGAGCACAGAAAUAGCUAGAAUAAGCCGACAGAAAGCAGAAAUAGAAGUAAGAUUAAGCAUCCUUACCUCUGUGUCUACACGUAGCUUCUGAAAUAAGGACGAUCGGGCAAGAAUCGGAAAAAGCUCUGCACCCCUCUCUUUCUCUCUCUAACUCUCGGCCACUUUGGGAGAAAAUGAGAUAUUUUCUCACUUUUUCCCUUUUUAUAGUAGAGGGGAAAAUCCGAAAAAUCGAUAUUUUGCGGUUCCGGUCGUUUUGGUACUUCCGUCUGCUGAUAAAAAUUGAGUUUUCGGCGACAGAAUGUCGAAACUCAAAUCAAGGUUCAUUUAAUUGAGGAAAACGUCUCAAAGACGGUGUGAGUCGAUUUAUGCUGAAAAACUACUUUUUGCAGUUGACGUCGGAUGAGGAAACUUCCUUCAGGAAAAAGAUCAAAAACGUCGAAAGAAAUGAGGCAACGCGGAUGGAAACUUCGCUAGAAGCUCCGAAUAGAAAAACCCUUCAUUCAAGGUCUUAGUUAAAGUUCCCGAGAUGUUAAAGUCUGGCUUCGGCGGACUUCCGGGAAGCGAAACCUAACAAGCGUAUAGUCCAGGGUUUCGUAUCGGAAAGCUAGUCAUGGGAAAAAUACUCAGAGGUUCUUAUUCUCUCUUUAAUUCUAAAAUUCUCUUAAACAAUGCUCUAGGAGCGGAUAUAGCCUUUUUCGGACACUCUCGACCUUAGUCGGGUGCGAAUAUGGCUUGUGCCAUCAAUCAAAAUGACUAAAGUGUCAUCCUUAAACAUACUGCGAACUUUCGUCUUCAUAACGCUAAUCCAAACAUUAAACACGAGUCAAGUUCCUCUCACGCUGACACAAAAUCCUAUGCGUGAGUUGGAAAUUAAUUAUUUAUUUAAUUCUAAAAUCCUGGGUCUUACAAUAUUGGAGGGUGAUAGGGUGACGAUGGUGGUGGAUGGCGGUGACAGUGGUGGUAGUAGUGGCGGUAGUGGCGAUGAUGACAAUGAUAGAGUGGUGGUGGAGGUGAUGAUGGUCGCAGUGGUGGUGGCGGCGUUGGUGGUGGAGGGUGGUGGUAGUGGGGAUAACGAUGACGGGAAUUAACGAUGGUGGUACUGGUGGAGCGUGGUGAUGGUGGCGGUGACGGUGGUGGAGGGUGGUCGGAGGUGGCGAAGGUGGUGGUUGAGGGCGGUGGUGGUGGAGGAGGGUGGUGGCGGCGGGGGUGGUGGUGGCGGCGAAAGUGAUGGAUGGUGGAUGAUGGUGGAGGGUGGUGGUGGAGGGUGGUGGUGGUGAAGGGUGGUGGCGACAGAAGUGAUGGAGGGUAUUGGCGGUGGCGAUGGUGGUGAUGGAGGAUGGGGUGGAUGGUGGUGGUGGCGGUGGAGGGUGGUGGCGGCUGUGGUGAUGGAGGGUGGUGGUGGCGGCGGCAGUGGAGGGUGGUUGUGGCAGCAAUGGUGGUGGUGGUGGCGGUAGUGGUGGGCGGCGACGGUGGUGGUGGAGGUUGUGGUGGUGGCAGUUAAUUAAAUAUAUUCAAGUAGUUUAUACAUCACAUUUUUAUCAUGUCUUAUAUAUAGGGUGGAUUAAAUAUUCCAUCAUUUUGAUGUAUAAGAGAAAAUUGAUGUAUAAACUUAUACAAUACAACGUGAGCACUAAACAAUGGAUAAUCCAUGAUGUAUUAUAUAAGCUUAUGCUAUCAUGCCUAAUACGGCGUACCAAACGUGCCUUAAUAGUAUGAGAGAGAAAGUUUGUGAAGAAAGACAUAAAAUGAGGUGGUGACACUUGUCAAAGUUGCCACUUUUCGGUUUCAGAAAUAGUAUAUAUAUAUACACGAUAAGAUAGGAUUUUUUUUUGGUUACAAUAAGAUAGGAUAUGAUAGAAUAUGAUAAGGUAUGAUAGGAUUAAAAUGAGUAAAAUAUUAAUUAUCAAUCAUAAUUUUUUAUGCAUUCAGAUCAAUACUAAUUGAUUAUUAAUAAAUCUUUAUUAUAUGAUUGACACACUAGAUGAUACCUAUAACUAAGCAAAAAAAAAACCACUAAUUGAAAAAAUGGUUAAUACAAAGUACUAUUAACUAAAUAUAUAUUUUAAAAUUAACUAAAUAUAUUAAAUAAUUGAGAUUAAUGGAUAUGCAUUGUUUGUGUAAAGAAGUGUUACACGGACGUCCAAUCACAUUAUGUCACAUAGGACUAAGUGGUUACAAAUAUUUUUAAUUUUAGUUAGUAAAUUAAUAAAUUGCUGAUGUGGCGGAAAUCAAUUUAGUGGAGAUAACCUUCUUCGCAGGGGCGGAUCCAGACCUUAUAUGUUAGUGUGGCUAAACAUAAAAGAAAUUACUGAUUAAAAUAUAUUGAAAUCUUUUUUUCAAAAGAGAUAAAUAUUAUAGAUAAAACCAUGAGAGAAAGUUUCUCAUGGAAAUAGAAGAGUUUACAGUCCAAGAAGGACUAGGCUUACAACGAAAUAUAACAAAAGAAACAGAGUGAAAACAACAGUACACUAUUCUUCUUUAUAUAUGUAUUGUGUUGGAUGACAUGAUGAGCACAUUUGAGUGAACAUUAAUUUCAUGAUGGAUAUGAACAACAUACAAAAUAUAAAAUACAUUCAGGAAGAGAAUAGAAUGAAAGCAACACAUUGUGAGAGACUUGGUUUUUUUUUUAUCAACUAAGGUAAGAUGUAUUAAAAUGGGAGUACUAGGUGUACUCCAAACCCACUUACAGCAAGAAAGCACAUAACUGUGAAAAGCAAAAGAAUAGAGCAACAAUUCUGUUUUGCUUACACGUACAGGCCUGCUACCCACAAAAACUAAACUCAAACAAAAUUGUUUGUACAAGAAAAAUAGAAGAAAAUCAACGAACACAAGUUUCAGUAUAGAUACAAUUGCCUCACAAACCAGAGUAAAAUCUUACACACUUAGAAUUGUGAUUGGAUAACACAAGUUCUCAAGCAUAUAAUUUUUUUCUAAAAAAAAAAAACCUGGUGUGGUUAAGCUGAGAAACGUCAUACUACUUAGGAUUAAGGAUUGGACUUUUCGUUAAAAAAAGGAUUGGACUUUUAUGGUAUUUUUAGGACUUGUAUUUUUUGCACAUGUGGGGAUUGCUUUUAGCACACCCAUUUUUACAAUUUACACAUCCAUUAGUUUUAAAAUUUUAAAAGAUAAAGAAAGUUUUUUUUAUCAAAGAUAAUCAAUUCAAUACCCAAAAGAUUGUCUAACGACAUUUACAAUAUGUAAGAAUAAAUCUCAACAAGCGAUAUCGCACUGCAAUAUAUAAGUAAUCACAGAAACAAGCAUACACACUCAAACAACAAAAUUAAACAUCAACUAAAAGCAUGAUGUAAAAAUCUUAAGGAUCAUACAAAAGCUCCUAAUAAACAUCCAAGCAGAUAAAAAUAAGUCUAAUACAGGAUUAGAGUAUUGGGCUAGUGCUUUGAAUCUCAUUUGUUUUAUACCAACUCAUUGUUUUGGGCGCUACCCUUUAUGUGAUUACUUAUGUAUUGCAUUGUGAUAUCGGUUGUUGAGAUUUGUCAUUGAAUAUUCAUUUGCUAGAUCCUUAUUAGAAUAUUCAUUUGUUUAUAAUUUACAUUGAUGUGAGUUAGUUUCUCUUUUUUUUCAGAAGAGAAGGAAAAAAAAGAGUUAGUUUCUCUUUUGACCAAAAAGAAAGUUAAUUUCUCAUGUGUUAUGUUUGGAACAGGUGAAAAUGCCGUGAUGGAAAACUACAUCAGGGAAAAAGAUAUAAAAUUACUGUACACUAUAUGUUUGGUUACACAAAAACAUGUCAGAAGGUGGUAAAACCAUUCUUGCAUAAAUCAUGGCUAUGAUUUCCCUAAAAUGAAAAGUUAUAGAAACAAAACAAGUAAUUGACAAUUUUUUUAAAACAAGACUCUCCCAAGUGAGUUAAUGAAUUUUGAAAAAGUCCAACAAACAACAAAAGAUUCAAAAGGAACAACUAAUGCACAAAUCCGCAACAAACAAGAGGAUAAAAAUAACAGUCAAUUGUUCUGAUAUCAAGUGUGAGUAAAUCAAACAUUGAAAGAUAAAAAAAACUUUGAGCGGUUUAUAAGUGUGAGAACUCAUAAACCCAAUGUCAUCAGGUUUUGAGUGAAAGAUGUGAUGUCUGGUCCACUUGUGAUUUGCUCUUUAAAUUUCAAUGUGGAGUUUUAUCCCAAAUUUUAAAAUCAUCUCUUUUGUUUGACCAUUUAUUUUGCCCAACAGUGAUAUCAGGGUCGAUGGUUGUUUGAACAUGGGUCAUGAGCCUCUGAGGUUCCGUUUGAGUACAAGCCCAACUUUCAUUUGAGAUGGACUCACACUUGAGAAGGAGAUUGUUGUGUACUAUCAAGUGCGAGUAAGCCACUUACACAUUUGAAGAUAAAUGAUAAAUUUGAGUGGUUUAUAAGCGUGUGAACCCAUGCAUGUACUCAUUGUCUUAAGGUUUUGGAUGAAAAUUGUGGUAUCCAACUCACUUAUGGUUUGCUCUUUAAAGUCCAAUGUAGAGUUUUAUCCCCGAAUAUUAAACUAUCUCCUUUCUUCGGCCCUUUAUUAGGCCCAACUUGUUUCAUGUGGAAUAUCUCAAUAAUUCGAAGAGAAUGAGUUGUAUUUUCAAAAACAACUAGUAAUAUAUUUCAUUAAUAAUAAAACUUUUAGAAAAGUGCGAAAAAUAUAUUUAUAUUUUAUUGUAUAAUACGUGUUGAAUAUGUGAAGAGAUCAAGUGUGGCAAAAAACUUUAUUCCUUUUAGGAUUGAGUAACAUAGUUCAUUCAUUAUUUAUUGAUUAGAAUAACAUUAUAUUUUUUUAUAGGGAUAGAAUAACAUUAUAAAUCAGUCAGAUUUGAGUAGAAAAAAUUCCAAUCCUGAUUUAAUCAUUUUUAUAAAAUUGAAAUCAUACCAUAUGGGGCUAAAUCAGCUUUGUAACCCCCCAGGAGUUUGAUUCGAAUUUCACCCCUUGUCCAAAAUAAAAAGCCAGAGUUAAUUGCGUCUUUUAGUGACUUAAUGUGUAUUUAAUAACAACCAUUGAAAAUUUGAAAAGAAAAAACAAAACAAAGCAAUACAAUGAUUGACAGAACAUACAUGCAGGCAAAAAGCACACAAAAAACCAUAGAAUCUGUUUUCCUUUUUUCUAUUUAUGAAAACGGCUUGUGGUUAUUUUAAUUUUAUCAAGCAAAACAUUGGUUGGUAAUUGGCUACAACCAGAGCCUAUGGUUUUUCUAAGUUCCAAGUUUGAUACAUUAAAAAAAGGUUACAAUCCUUUGCUAAAUUAAGCUAUGAUUUAUAAUAAUAGCAACCCUUGGCCUCCUCAAAAUUUUGCAGGCCAUUAAGAACCAAACAAAACAAACUAAAAUUAACGCGUAGUGACCCUUUAUAAAACCUUUCAAGAAUUAGCUACAACACAAUUGAUCAUUAUUCCUUCAACCUUUCUUUGCUUUCUAAUUAGCGUUCUUUCUCUUGUUAUUGUAGAGGGAGGACGAUAAUAUCAAGAAAGAAACUUUGUUUUAUUCUCUUAAUUAACUCAUCUAUCAUUCAAUAUGGGAAACUGUGGCAGCAACCCUAAGACCAAUGAGGGUCCUGAGCCAGUGCCUGAGAUUAAGAAUGAGGAGGUUAAGGUUGAGCAGGUGCAGGAGAGUGAAGCCAAUGUUGAAAAGAAGACAGAGGAAACCCCUAAUGAAGAUAACAAGUCUCUAAGCACCUUGCUCAAUGAGGUAAUAUCUUAAUUUCUCCUUCAAAUUAGGUCUCUGAGAUGACUGAAAUCUUCUGUUUUCAUUUGAUCUAUAUCUUUGUUCUACCAAUCAAAUUAUGUCAUAUAAUUCAGAAAUCACUAAUAUAAGAUUAUAAAUGUUAUACUCAUGCAAUUUGAUUGGUGACGAAAAAAAGAGACUUGGGAUUAAGAUCUUCAUCCAUCCCAAACUUGGUUAAAAUAAUUGUUAGUUUAUGAGUUUUACCUUUUUUUAAUCACCAUUUUGCAAAUUUACAUGAUAUUAUUUAUCAAUUUAUUUUGAUGUUUUUAUAAGAAUUAUAAUGGUAAAAUUAUUAAUAUAAUGAAAGUAUAAUUUUUUUUCGUUACAAUUGGAAAAAUAAUGAAAGCGUUAUUUAAUAAAAUAUUUUUUAUAACACAAUCAAAAGUUUUAGUUAUUUUCUUAAUAUUUUUGUAAAAUCUUAGAUGACAAUUACUCUUUCCCUUCAUUAAAAUAAAACCAUUUUAAAAAUUUCAAAUUAUUUCAAACAAAGUGAGCAUAAAAAUUAGGUUUUUAUAUCACCCAAGAUAAAUAUUAGGUUAAAUCACAUAAUAUUCUCGUGACAAAUGUCAAAAUAUUAUUUGACCACCUAAAUUAGAGUAAUUUUACACAAGGUAAAUCUUAAAUGAUUUAUGAAAUUCUGAAAGAUGCUAAUCUAAAAUACAGUUAAAAAAUUUAGAUUUGAUGAACCGUACCAAAAAAUAUUUGAUUUAUUAGAAUAUUGAAAAUGGUGUGAAGAUUAAGAAUACUUUACCAACAACAAUUAAGUUUUGUUUUUAAGGUUACAGCAAUGAAGUUAUACUUCUAAAACAUUUCAAUCUAAUGCUAUUACAUCCUCCUAAACAUUUCAACCUAAUUAUUAUCACUUUUGUACAAGCAGAAUGAAGAGGAGGCAAAGAAACCUGAGGAAGAAGUACAAGCUGAGCCCAAGGAAGAAAAAGCAACCACUGAGGAAGUAAAGGUUGAAACCAAGGAAGUAAACCCGAAACCCGAGGAGGAGCCCAAGGAAGAAGAACCUAAAGCCCAAGUUCAAGAAGAGAAGCCCAAAACAGAAGAGGCAUAGAGCUGAGAAACGUGCGUGUAGACAAAGGUUUUACCAGGAUUGAUUUUAUAUACUUCAACAAGUAUACAAAUUUGUUGCCUUUCUGUUUAGUGCUCCAAGGAAAAUUUAUUAGAU